rnacentral:rRNA from 1 species
GACGAACGCUGGCGGCGUGCUUAACACAUGCAAGUCGAACGGUGAAGCGCCUUCCUUUUUGGUGGGUGUGGAUGAGUGGCGAACGGGUGAGUAACACGUGAGUAACCUGCCCCCUUCUUCUGGAUAACCGCAUGAAAGUGUGGCUAAUACGGGAUAUUCUGGGUCUGUCGCAUGAUGGGUCUGGGAAAGAUAUUGUUUCGGUGGGGGAUGGGCUCGCGGCCUAUCAGCUUGUUGGUGGGGUGAUGGCCUACCAAGGCGGUGACGGGUAGCCGACCUGAGAGGGUGGACGGUCACACUGGGACGGAGACACGGCCCAGACUCCUACGGGAGGCAGCAGUGGGGAAUAUUGCACAAUGGGCGCAAGCCUGAUGCAGCGACGCCGCGUGAGGGAUGGAGGCCUGCGGGUUGUGAACCUCUUUCGCCAGUGAAGCAGGCCUGCCUCGUUUGUGGGUGGGUUGACGGUAGCUGGAGAAGAAGCGCCGGCUAACUACGUG